AGCUGACUCAAAAGGGAGUGUCUGGUGCAGGCAUGCAGGGAGGAAGAAUGACUCUGAGCUUGACCAUUCAACUUCGAAACUUUAACAUCAAUGGAUCAGCACACACUGGUGUACGGUCUGCUAUGCAUGCAGCCCUGUGCUAGGCAAAAGAAGUAUCAGACCAGGAACUGACAGCCUCACUGCAACAGGAAGAGAGGCUUCACACAAUAAGCGUUUCAUUCAACCAGGCUGGACCUGUGCUUAUUGAGUUGAACAUCACUGAGCACAAAAUGCAAGCCAGACACCAUAAGAGCUGUAAGGAUGAUAAAGAUGUCUUUCUACCCUCGAGAGCUCUAAGUGUGGUCAGGAGAGAAACACAUGCAAAGAUUAUGCUGGCUGGAAGGAAAUGCUGGAAUGAAGGUGGAAGGUACAUCCAGAAUGUUCUGGGGGUGAGGAAUAGCGAAUGAUGGGUUCUGACUUAGAACAUGAAGGGAAGGUAUUAAGAAAGAGGUGAUAUUAAGCAUUUAUUGAGCAUCUCUACUUUUUUUGUGUAUGUGACCUUGUUUGGAAAUACAAUAUCUCUUCUUG
rnacentral:lncRNA from 1 species